GAACCCGGUCAGGCCCGGAAGGGAGCAGCCGCAGCGGUGACAUCGAGUGCCGGGGUGUGGCUGGUGGGG
rnacentral:SRP_RNA from 1 species